rnacentral:misc_RNA from 1 species
UCCAUCAAAAACGGAUGCUGGGCCUGUAGUUCCUGGGAGGGCUUCGUACCCGAGACAGGUUAACGUAAUUCGGGAGAGCAACGUUUCAUCCUUUUUAUACGAGCACCUUUCGUUCUCCUUCGGCGGGGCAACCUGCCGCUGGAACUUAACAAAACCUUUUUUGCAUCUAGCAUUACCUGUUCUGAUACAAACAAUCGUUA